AUUCUUUUCCCGUUCAUAAGCAUGAUGAUCAGGUUUUCGCACUCCUGUGCGAUGUGCCUCCCUUUCAAACUUGUUAUGACGUCGGCACAUCACCCUUCUGACA